UUUUUUUUUUUUUUUUUUUUGGUUUCUGCUUCUUUCCUUGGUUCCAUGGUUCCAUGUGAGUCACUUGUGGCAUUAGGUGUAGGGCGUCUAGGGUUUAGACAUUAUCUCUCUAAAAAAUUAUCCACCAUUUUUUGUCUUCUUCCUUGGUUUCACUUUUUUCUUCUCCUUCAUCUUGAACCCUCUACUCUUUUCUCAUUCUUUCCUAUCUAUUUUCUUCCCUCUUAUCUUUCUUUUCUUCUUUUUUCUUCCUUCUUUCUCCCUAUUACCAAGGGAUCUUUCUUCUCUAACAAUGUUUUGGAUAAAUUAAUUAUAACCCUCAGUGAUUUUACAUAAUGCCAAAUGACCUCUCUAAAGGUUUAAAAUAGUCAUAUAACCCUCUUAUGAUUUUAUGUAAAGUGAAAAAUAGACGGAAUGCAUAAUUAGUUAUGGCGUUUAUCCCAAACGCACUCUAAAAGUGCUUGUAAUAAAAUUUUAAUCUCCAUGAAACUCUUUUUGAUUUGUAUAAGAAUUUACUUUACCCUUUGUGAUUUCUGCAUUUAUCCAUGUAAUCCAAUCAUACUUUUAUACAAGGUAGUUAAGUCAUUGAUUGAUUCAGCAUUUAAGUAAAAUCACUAUCGGUAUUUCAAUUAACGACAUUAUGUAAGUUAUUUUUGCUCAAGUUUCUAUAUUAUAUAAAAUCAUAUGGGGUGAAGUGGACAUUUUGAAAUGUUAAAGGGAUCAUGUGGCAGAUAAAACUACAUGGGGGUUAUAUAUAAUUUACCCUAAUAUUUUAUAUGACUUUCUCUAUUCUUUGGAAUUUAUAUUCGUUAUUGUUCUUUUCAAAGCCUUCUUGAAAAUAUAAUUUCCUUGCUCAUAUAUUUUUGAGAGUAUACUUAUAUAUUCAAGAUACAUUUGGUAAAUCUGGACAUAUAAAGCUUUCAUCAUUGUGUGGAAAAUCAAUAAGCUUACAUAUUUAUAUCCAUCUCUAACCCGAAUUUUGAUUGAAUAAACUCAAUAUUCGGCUACCUCAAUUAAGGUGUGAUACCCAUUGAACACCGAUACAACAUUUCUUUUAUAGCUCUAUUCAUUAGACACCAACUAUAGGUGUAUUUUAAAAAAUCUUAAUUAUUUUUUGGUCAAAUCUUUACAAGGAGUUACAAUAGAAUUUAGGGUAAAAAACAAAAAAUUCCCAUGUGCUAAACCUAAUAUACAAAUAAGCCCCCUAUGAUUUCAAAAUAUACGACGCGACACCUCAUGUUUUGAACUAAAUUGUAACUCUAACGAAAAUUGGUAAAAUUAAUGGGACUGAUGUACUGGAAGUUAAAAGCAAAUUCUUUAUGCUUAAUUUUUAGUAAAUAUUCCUAUUGUAUCCCUUAACCCCCAAUAAAACUCCCAGCGAUGCUUGUGUAGAGAAAUCGAUUUUCUCCUUGAUUGAGAGAAAUUGAACUAGCCUUUGGGGGAAAUCAAAUUACCACCCAAUCGAAGAGAAAGGUAAAGCUUUUUCAAAGAUGAAGUCAAUCACCGAGCAGCUACUACACAACCUUGGAUAAGGUAAAAAGUUUUGAUUUUGGGUUUUGGCUAACAAAUUGUUGUUAUUAGGGUUUAAAGUAAGAAUGUUGGUAACUAAAUUGGGAUUUAUCUACUAAUGAAGGGAAACGACUGGCUAAAAAAUGUGCUCAUGUCUUCAUCUAGCUCUCGAGGGUGUAGUGGAGUUGGGGAUCUACGAUACCAAUAUAAGAUUUGUGACUGUCGAAGAAAGACGAAAGUGAAGAUUAUUGAGUCCGAAAAGCCAUUCAAAGGGAUGCUGUACUUUGUAUGUGAAAAGGAUGAUUGUAGAUUUUGGUCAUGAUGUAAUCCCAUCUAUAGAGAUAAAGCCAGCAGAGAAAACUUUUUUGGGAGGCCAACGGUUGAAGAACAUUUCCCGUGCUUGAACUCCUAUUGUAAAGUGAAGAACUUGAAUGAUAAAGUGAAGAACUUGAAAGCACUAGUUAGCUAUUGUUUAAUGGUAUCUAUUUUUUCACUUUUGCUUCUGUUGAUGAUAAUGUCUAUAAAAUAAGAUAAUGAUUUUGUUAUGAAUGAAAAUGAAGAAAUUUGGUAGUUUGUUUUGUUCAUGAAAAUGUGCACUUUAUUUUUCUGAUUUUUUGAAAAAUGUUCUACCAAAAACAAUGAAACAAAUAACUAUUAUAUACACUUCCAACCCUUAAUCAUAUUUGUGCAUUAAAAACAGUUUUGAGCAAUAAGUAUACAUAAUAACAUCUUCUGCGAUUGAGAAAUACACUUGUAGCCCUUAAUCAGAAUUCUCCAUUAAAACAGUCAAUAAGUACAUUAAAGUUUCCAACAGUUGACAACAAUUUCAAAUAAAGUAGACAAAAACAUCCCACCAAAGAAAAGCUGCCUAAAAAACUGUCACUAAUUCCUUAAAAAACUACACAAAAGGCAAUCAACAAACAUAAAGUUCAUCCUAAAAUCAACUCUAAAGUUGCUAUAUUAACUGAACUACUUCUGUCCACAUCUUCUUGCUUUCUUGGACCUUAGGUUGGAUAGAACAUCAGCAACAGACAACAGUAGGACAAAGGGGUCCUUUUGCUGCUGAAGUUGUGCCACUCAUAGGCUGCAAUUAAAAACGAAACUAUGAAUGUCCGAAUGAAUAAUACUUCAUUAAUUCACAUUUGUAGUAUAUCUAAUCCAACCUGAGAACAUGAUUGUCUAGCAGGCAUAUUUUUUGCCACACUCGCAAUUGUUGGCUGCAUAUACCGCUUCCCAGGCCUGCAGCUUGUUUUUUGAACAUGUGCAGCGUAUUCUUGAUUUGGGACUACUGGUUGCGAGGGCACCAUUAGUGAAGGAGCUGAUGAAUGAACUGCUGAACUUAAUUCAGCUACAUUAGUGUCGGGUGCCUAUGAAAAAUACGUUCAUAUUCAUGUUGAAUUAAUAUGAUUUGGGACAGCAAAUAAGAUGAAAAAUCUGGUUUAUGUUACCAUGUGGAAUUUAGAGUUGGGAUGAAUGGCAUUCUUGCAGGUCCUUGAAUUAUGUCUUGGCUAAAACAUCUCUUGCAAUGUACCACAAGACCCUUCCUGGUUGAGACUUGACCCUUUUUAGGCUCGUCGGCUGCCCUUUGUCGGAUCUUUUUGGGUUUGCCAAUCAAUCUUCGAACUGCAGGAGGAUUGGGGGUUGUUCUUCACAUCUCACCCAAUAUUUAUCACUUGGGACAGGUGUGAUAGUAUGCUCAUAUAUUCUCAAGUAAUUUUUUCUACUGUAGUAGACAUGCACAUAAUCAAACAAAGGCAAUCUAGGUGCUUCUAUUGCAGUACAUGCAUGGGUACAAGAUAACCUGUAAGCUGGAAAUAACCACAUAUGCAAGUCUUUUCAUUCAAAUCCAUCACAACAGAUUUUCUAGACCCACAGCCAAUUUCAUAUUUGUUCUUGCCAUCCCAUGUGGGAAUACACAGCCUACUAAGUUUCAGAUUCUUGUCAAUCUUCCUUGCAAUGUUAGGAUAGAUUUUUUCUUGAAAUUUUUGCAUACCAGACCUCUUCACUUGAAUCCUUUGCAUGAGUCUUCCUCGGAUCCACUCAAGCAUCCCUAUGAUAGGUAGCUCUCUGGCUUCUAAAAUAUAAUUAUUGAAUGACUCACAAAGGUUAUUGACAAGAAUAUCACAUUUGCUACUUUGUCUAAAAUGUGACCUAUUUCAUAAAACUUGUGGCAUUUUUUGCAGCCAUUCAGCUGCAUCCUUUGAAGCUUUUUCAAGGGAAUUCAUUGCUAAUUUCCAGUCUAUUUCAUUCCUAGCACUUGCAGCUGCCCCAAACAAGGCUUUCAACUCUUUUUCUUUGAACUUUUGCUUGAAAUUUUGGUACAUAUGCCUCAAGCAAAACCUGUGUUCAGAAUUUGGAAAUAACUCAUUCACUGCAUGGACCAGUCCUUUUUAUCGAUCUGAGAUGAAUGUCCAGGGUAUGUUUUCCACACCAAGUCCCAGAUCAGCCAUUAAUAGUUCCAGGAACCACUCUCAUGAGUCAUACCUCUCUACCUCUAUCACUGCUACUACUAUUGGAAUCAUGUUGUCAUUGUCAUCUCUACCAAUUGCUGACAAUAAUUGACCACCAAAUGCAUAUUUCAAAAAACACCCAUCAAGACCAAUUAUUGGUAUAGCCAUCGAGGAACCCCUGUUUGCAAGCAUGAAGGCAGUAAUACAGUCUUUCAAAUGUUCCUUGUAAACCCUCUUCUGUUGUAUCAAGCUUAAUCUUGACAGUGUUACCAGGAUUUGUCUGUCGGAUUAUAGCUGUAUAACUUCAAAGGUGGUGAUAUUGCUCCAUAUCUAUGCUAAGCAUCUCAUCUUUUCCCUUUCUCUUUGUUCUGUGUAUUUUGGCAACGAACACGUUAAUCAUUAAAUCUCUUCCAAUAUCAUUCUGAAAUUCAUUCACGGCACACUUCGGGUUACCUCUUAUCUUGUCUUGGUACUUCGCACUCAAAUACUUGGUUGUUGUAUGCUUGUUGUUGUAAUAUCUAACACAAACAUGCUGACAUUUCAAUGAUUUAAUUUGAAAAGUAGUUUUACCUUGGAUUGGUGUUGCACGAAUCCUCCAAGAACAGCCCUUUGCACACUUGGCAAUAAUCUUUUUUGAGUAAUUUUUUACCCAUUCAACCUCAUAUCUCUUUCUUACCAACCAUUCGAACAACACAUAUCUAAAAACUAUGAAAUUGAAAAACUUCUGCCCAUCCUUCAAUUCAAAAUGUGACUUUAGAAACCCCAUUUCAGGGUUAAAGUCAAGGCAUUCUUUAUGGCCUUCAUAAUCAUAUCCGCAAUUGUCCUGCAACUCUUCAUCAGAAACUACUGGUUCUUGCCAAUCCUCUUCUGGUGUAUGUGGUGCUCCUUCUUCUGUUGAUUUUUCUUCAGCAUUUUUACUGUUCACUGCUUCAGCUUGUAAUGGGAUCUGAGAUGGGUGUUGAUCAGUAGCUUGAGAUAGAGUCUCAAAUGAAAUCUGAAAUGAGAUAUGAGGUGAAAUUUCUCCAAUAUUGUCUAGCCCUACAGACUGUUUCUUACUUUUGCUAGACUUUUUUGCCUUAUUAGUUUCACUUUUGGCAGGGCUUUUGAUAGCUACCUUUGCAGGAAAAGAGAACACAUAAUAAGGCUUAAAAUAGGUGGAAUGUAAUAUGGACCCGCCUUCUGGUUUGUUGCAUUUAUCCACAUCUUUUUUAGUUGCAAAAAUGUCCUCAUCCUCUUUUGUUUCCAACCCCUUUUUCAGCCAUUCAGGCUCAUCAUCAUCAGUAUAAUUUGUCUUCUUUGGUUGCAAUUACUAACCCCAUCUUCUUUUUUUUUUCUAAAGUCUCUAUGUUAUGUACCUCAUCAUCCCCGCUGUCUAUUUUGCUGUUAUGUACCCCAUCUGCACAUUUAUUUGAUAUUGAUGCAUCUAUUGUCGAAUUUGGCUCCAACACAUUGUGCCUACCAUAUUCUAGUGGUUUUUCAAAAGAAUUAUCCCCAUUGCAAGCAUAUAUUAUCCUUGUUGUCAAACCCCAAUAUGCUUUAUUCAUCAAUUUAACAUCAUUAUUGUCCCUAAUUGGAUGCAGGUCACCAUCUAAGUCUACUUGUGGAGCACAAAUCAGAAAGUCACUCUAGUUGCAUUCUCAUCCACUUUUUUAAACACCCUGCAAAGGCUAACUAUGGGGAUCUAGUUUUCAAGUCUAUUUUUAAAGAUAGCCAUACGGGUUCCUAUGUAGUGAAGGACAGGAUAUUCUCCAAAUUUUUCAUCAAAAUACAUAUGUAUGUUUACUUCUUCCUCUAACUUGUCUGUUUUUGUUGAAUAUUUCAAGGAAUAUAAUAAAUAUGCUUUAGUCUCUCGACUACUAUGUCUCCAUCAUUGAUAUACAUGAAACUAAAUAAACAGAAAAGCACAAGCACAGCCAAUUUUAAUAGCAUUCUGGACCACUAAACCAGAUAAGACAGUGACAAGUAGAAGUGGCAAAAUGGAUAUAUGGUUGAUAAAUGGUUUUAGUUAAAUGGAUAGUGGAUCAAAUUGAUCCAAUCCAAUUAAAACCAUUUAAUAAAUGGAUCUAAAUGGAUGUCAUUUAAGUGGAUAGUGUAAACCAUGAUCCAUCCAUUUAUCCAUUUACUCUCCCAAAUCCUAAAUUUAAGAUCCAAAUAUUUUUUUCCAAAAAAUACAGAUCCCCAAAAUUCUAUCCUUAAAUCACCUAAAACCUUUUGAUAAUAACAAAUGCUUGUACUACUACUCUAUUUCAAUUCUUCAUAAAAUUAGUUUAGUUCCAAGAAAAUUUAACUGCUGUGGUCAAUUUAACCUUUCGUCAUUACUUUAAAUAUCAUUUUGUAAAGUAAUGAACAAUUAAGAACUUGACUAUAUUUUUAUAACUUUUGAAUGAAUUAAAUACGGUUUUAUAGUGAAAAGAAGUUUACGUUUCCAAUUUUUUGCACUCCUGUUCAAGAGUGAUGUCUUGAAUAAAAGUGGAGUUCUAAUAAGAAAUCUUAUGUUAUUUAACAAGUAAAAUAUUUUCAUUACAUGUGCACGUAAUACCUAAAAAUGUAUAAAACUCCUUAUUAUACCAUUGAUAUACAAGCUACCUUAUAUUACUUAGUAAAUUAGGUGUCUUUUUUUUUGGAUAGUUGGGUUGGGUGAUAAGGGGAGAGGAAUUGGAAGUAUGAGGAUUUGGAAAAAAAAAAGGUGUCAUUUACAUAUCUUAACCAAUGUUGUGGGGACACUCGUUAGAAAAUUUUUUUUUAUAAAUAAAAGAAUUAAAAAAAUAAAAAUUAUUUUGACACUGCAUGAUGCAUUCUCGCUUUUUCUUUACUUAAGAAUACAAAUGUUUGCAAUCAUUACUACAUGAGAGUUUAAUUAAAAAAAACAAGAGUAGAGACUAAAUUAUAAUUUUGAAAAGGAUGGAAAAAGUCUAGGAACUGGAAGCAAAUAAAAUGCAAUUAAUGUUAUUGACAACUUGGCAUGUGAGAAAGUUAUGAAGGAAAGAAUAGGUGGUCCCACAAAAUUAAUUUGACAUAUGAGGAAGUUAUGAAGAAAAGAAUAGAUAGUCCCACAAGAUUUUAUCUCACAUUUUUAUAAAUGUGUUUUCUAUUUUUUAAGUUAAAUGGAUGUAUAUGGAUAAGAUGGAUAAUCCAUUUAAAUCCACCAACAUAAUUGGAUUUAAAUGGUUAUCCAUUUAAAACCAUUGAAUUUAUAUGGAUAAUCCAAAUCCAUUUAAGGUUGGUUUAUAUGGAUGGAUUGGUGGAUAUGAAUCCAUUUUGCCACUUCUAGUGACAAGUAUAGAAAUUGAUAGUUUUACUCACAAUUCUUUGUUAAAUAUCUAAUUGUAACAAGUAAUUGAGUCGUACUCAAACACACAAACAAAUUGUAACAGCCCCACCUUCCCCUAAGGCGAACCAAAGGGGUUAGCGGACUGCCUGCCCAACUCUCGCCAGGACUAACGGAUCAGUUUACGUCGAUCUAAUACGUUCCGAAACUUACCAGUGCGCGCAACCAAGUCAAAAUCACAAAAUAAAAAAAAAUGAAGAAAAGUCGAAACCGAUGAUGAACAGUACCGGCCACGUCCAACUCCGGAUACUAGGCCGAGAGUAGCCAAACCUUUUUCUUUUGCCGUUUGAAAUACGAGUUGAUUCGAAAUCCAACCAAAUAUCAUCCAAACAUACAUACAUUGAAAUGUAACAUUUACAAGCCAAAGCGGCAUAUGAAAACGAUUCAUCAUGGAUAUACAUGUUCGGUUUGCCAAUCGAAAGAGAAUGAACCCAAUGCACAUUAGGGUCUCAUUCAAAGAGCUAUUCAAAAGACAUUUACAUGAGCUCAACUUGACAACCAACAAGUAUAACCUUUUCAAAAGUGGUCAUUUUCCUGUAAGGAAAACAAAUGGAACGGAAUGAGUUUAAACCCAGUGAGUUACUACCACAUAAGCAACAAAAAUCACAUAAGCAUAAUCUUUCAUUUCAAGUACACAAUUAAGAAGUAAAACAAGUCGGUAAAAGGAUACGGACGGCUCUCAAGAGCCCAUUUCCACGCUUACAUUCUUGAUCCAAUCUCACUGACUCUCCGUCAACGUUUAAGAGUACCAACCGUAGAACCCACUUCACUCCCAUCCCUUCCACCAAACAUACCCCAACCGGGCCCGCAUUCCAAUCAGUAGCUUUUGGUAAUACUCGAAUUUACCAGAAUCAAGAGUCUCAUUACUACAAGAUUCCCCAAUACAGUCCCCGUGGCAUGUCAAUUUUGUAACAUCCCGAAUAUUAGGAGGUUGUUUGUGAAGAAAAUAUUAAAAUAUAUUUCUUCGGGUUUGAUUUAAAACUUUAUUUGUUUUAAAAGACUAGAGACCCUAAUAUUUUAGUCAAAAACCCUAGUUUACUUGUGACUAACCGGUUUUCUUAAAUCUCUCACAUUUUAAUUGAAACCCUAAUUUUAAUCACUGGAAUUGGAAAAUUCCUCGCGUUUUCUUAAAAAUUUCCUUUUAUUUGGAAAUUAUUAUUUAUUAAAGCCCUACUAUCCAUUUAUUCCAUAAUAAGUGCAAAUGAGUUUAGAAAGUAGGGUUUCACUCUUCGUUUUCAAGAUUGGGGCAAAUUAGGAUUUUCGCGAUUUUCCGCCGGAUGAAUUUUCGGUACAGAGUAAGAAUUAAUUUGGGGAUUAAAAGUGACUUUUAAGUGAGAAAUAAUAUGUGAUUAGUGGCAAUGAGAUAAGGUUAGUAAAUGAGAAGUAAAAACCCUAGUACGUGAGUUUUAAGAAAAACGGCGCGAAUCGGCGGGACCCGCGUACUACCGGUUGAACGCACCACUUGACCACCACUUUCUUACCAUACAAGCUUAUUGAUAUUUGAGCAAAAUAUCUUCUCAAUUUCCAGCUAGCUUGACCGAAAUUUGUGGCCUAAAAAUGUAAGGGAAGAGAGAGAAAAAUGCUUGGCUAUGGUGGUGACACUUGUCCAACUCUAUUGGGUCCUUGUUUGAUAUUUUCUUUCUUCCUUUCUUAUCUUUCCUUGGACUGCAUUUCUUCUUCAUUUCUGCUUGUCUUGGCCGAGAGUGAGAGGGAGAGAAACCAAGAGAAAGAAACUCCAACCCAUCUUGAGUUUGAUCCAUUUAAGUGAGCAACAAGAAAACUAAACCGAUUGAUUGUAAGUUUGAAAGCUUGGGAAGCUAAGGGAACCAAAAAUUUCAAGAAAUAGUGGAGGAUCACUCUUGCAAGGCUUUGUCUUAAGGUAUAUUGGCUGAUCACCCUUUUCUUCUCCAUUAAUCAUAAUCAAGUGGUUGUUAAGCUUAGAAUUGAGCUAGUGAUACCUAUUUUCAAGUUGUUGUGAUGAUUUUUGGAUGAUAUAAGUGAGUUAGGAUUUGAUAAAUUUCUGCCCAAACUUGCUAUAUGGUUACUAUAUGUUGUAUAUAAGGUUAUACAAGGGGCUUUGGUAGUGAUUGGAACAAGGAAUUGAAGAAAGUUCAAUUGAAAACCAAAAUUUCCAGAUUUCUGGAAUUUCAUGUUUCACUUCUGUCCGUUUUUGUUGCACCAUGUUAGAGGCCGAAUUGACCUUUGGUCAAAGAAGGAAAGUUGUAGAAAAUGGUAUUUUAUAAGUACCUGUAAAAUUUCAGCUCAAUCGGAGUAACGUAGGACGUGAAAAGUCCAAAAUACCCUUACUGUUUUAAGUAUUUCCCAAGCAGUCCGUGUGAGCAGUUAAGUCCAGUUUAUCACGUUUUUCGACUAGGAUCCAUUCUGAUUUAGCUUUUUACCAAAACAUGAAAGUUGUAUCAUUCUGAAUUAGCUUUCAAAUGCCUCUAAGAACACCUGAUUCGGACUUGUGUACUCUGAGUUAUGUCCAUUACAGUGUUCUGCGUUUAAACAGCCGACGAAUUGGUUUUGGGUUUAGUAAUUCGAGAAUUUGACCAAGUUACAUUAGAAACUGGACUAAGUGACCUAUAUGAACAUUGUAGCCCUGAGUCUUAGCUUCGAAACGGUAUAGGUUGCGUCUUAAUCCGAUAAGCGUAGCCUCGGAUAAGUUAUUUCCGCUUUCAUACAUCAAAUCUGUCUUUUGCUAAAUUGAAUUUCUGCACUUGUUAUUACUGUAUUUCUUAUUCUUAUGAUAUUGUGAGCCUAUGGAACGGCUCUUGACUUGAAUUGCUUAUGUGUGAUGUUGGGUUGUGGUUGAGGAAAAAUAAUGAAGCCAAAAUGGUUGAAAAAUUAGGUAAACACAAAAGGGCGUGCUGCCCAAAUUUUCGCCGAGAGCUAGGUUUCUAUUUGAACUUGUAUACUUUUGUUUGGCCAAUACCAUGACCGGUUUUCCAUUUUACAACAUGAUUUUUCAUCCUUGGGUUCAAACAACCCUCUUCUUACUUGAAAGUCAUCUUUACACGUUUUACUCUUAAUUAGUCGGGUUUCUUUGUUUCCCUUAAAUGUUUUGCUCGAUAAACUAUAAUAAUGUUCUCUUGCUCAACCUUAGGUUUCAUUGGUGAUUAAGGGUAAUAUCCGAAAGGAUAUUUUGCACGAUAUUUUGCAUUUCUAGGUGAGUGACCUCAAACUACUUCUAAAGUUAUUUAUGAACCGUUUCUUACAUUAUUUACUUUUGAACUGUUUCCAAAGUCACUUUUGAAAUGUUUUCUUGCAUAUCAUGUGUGCUGGCAUUUGAGUGUGCCUUGUUUGCUAUAUUUCUUGACUUCAUGACUUGUAUUUUGGUUGAUAACGUGUUAAGUGCUUUCGAUGAUUAUUAAAACGAGUUUUCUAGGCGAGUGUGUACUUUAUCACACUCGACCUAAAUAGCUGUGCAAUUUUCAAGGAUUUAAUUAUUGAAAUGCUAGUUGCGCAUGAUGUAAGCCUUUUGGGCUGAACUGGCCAUUGCCCUUGUUACCGGUCGUCUUGAGCCAGAAGCGGACUCGGUCAGGCGAUUAGGAACUUGGGUGAACGUUUGGUAUACUCGAGUAUUACCUAUGUAGGUUGGUGGAGCCUGGCCAAAAGCCAGGGACGGGGUGAAUGAAAUGAAGUAAGUGACCAAAUGAGCGAGAAAAUGUCAGGAGAAUGAAUGUAUCCUUUCAUGAAUGUUACUAUCGCUUUCCAUUGUAAAUGUUUCUUGAAUUAUUGAUAAUCCAUAUUUACUGUUUUGCAAAUGAUGUAGUUGUUUCCGGAUUUAUCAUUCAAUUUAUGACUUCAUUGCUAUAUGACAUCAUUGAAAUGAACUAUUGUGAAACCGAUUUGAUUAAUGAUUUUCUGGUUACUCGCUGAGCUUUUAGCUCACCCCAAAAACUAUUUUAUUCCCCUCCACAGGGCUCGUGGCGAAGGAAGGACUUGUAGUACUUGUGCACUUGUAUGGAUGGCCUAAACUUUGUACAAUUUUGGAUUUGGAAUUAUUUUAUGUAUAUUUGGGAUUAGUUUCCGCUGCAUUUGUGACAUGUAAUUAUUGGAGACUUGAAUGUAUAUUUGUGGACCAUGUGAUGUAUAUUUGAGAUUUUUAUUGUAAUAUAUUUGAGGAUUAUAGUGAUCGACUGAGUCCCGGCGAGAGUUGGGCAGGCGGCCCGCCGAACCCUGGGGUACGCCCUAGGGGGAGGUGGGGUAGUCAGAAAUUUUCACGACCAAACCCUCGCCGGCUCGAUUCAGUUGACUACCAACGGAAUUGAGCUCAGUAGUACAGUAAGGCCGUUGGAUACUCGUCCAAACGAUGCCAAAUCAGUUUUUCAUGAAGUGAAUUCAAUAUCUCAUAUAGCAAGUGCAGUAUAUCAGUGAAACAGUAAACAGUCAUUAACGGUAUCACCAGAGGUGAGGGCGGUCAAGUACACCCUCACCUCAAUCAAUUCCAAUAGCCAAAUAAGCCUUCAAGGCAUCAAAAUCACAUAUAGCAAAGCCACAUUGUAACAUUCAAGUGAGUAGUAUACUCACUUAUCAAUUAAUUGUUGUUUCAUGCACUUCCGUAAAGAGAAUGUCGUGAACCACCGUCACGCCCUAGAACACGUAAACAAGUACAAUGAGACUCGAUAACGAGUCAUAAAACAAUGCCAAUCACAACCCCAAUAGGGUUUCAUAUGCAUAUACAAGUAUCAUAGGUAACCAGAAAAUCCGGAAAUGCAAUUAACUUUGGCCCUAAAAAAAAACAGUUUUUGUCCUCAUUUUGCGGUAAUGGUACCAAUUUCACUACGAUUAUCGGAUGAGGGUGCAAGACCCACCAUCUCGAAGCUAAAAGAUAGGGCUACAACAUUACAGAAGGUCACUCAACCCAGUUUUGAGUGCAAAUAGGUCAAAAAUGCAAGAUACUAUAUCAAAAACGUAAAACAGAUUCACCAAAACGCAUUCUAGCGGAAACAUCAUAACUCAGGCUCUACAAGUCCAAUUUCAGAAAUUCCAAAACCAGCUGAAAGCUAAGGAAUAGGGCUACAAUAAUGUAGAAGAUCACUCAGUCCAAUUCCUAGCAUAACUAGGUCAAAUAUGCAAGAAACUAAACUAGAACCGCAAUAACAGGUUUGCAAACUACAUUCUGCUGUAAUCAGUACAACUCAGUCUAUACAGGUCCAAAUUCCAAAAUUCCAAAGGCAUAUGGUAGCUAGGACAUCAAGCUACAUUUCAUCAGAAGACCUCAAAGGCCAAAUCGUGCAUUUUCAUGGUCGAAAAUGGAAGACUACACGAAAACAGAAAUCUAGGCGCGAAAUAGGUUUCGAAAACAGUCAAGGGUAUUUCGGUCCUUUCACAUGGUACAGUGGUCGGAUCAAGCUGGAAAUUUACAGGCAACUAGUUUAUAGCCUUGGCUACAACUUUCAUGUUUUGGCCAAAAUCUAAUUCGGUGAGGAUCAGGGUGAAAAGUCAUGGUCAAAUUGAGUGAAAAGGCAACCCUGUUCGCAGCACCCCUUCCUAGACCAGUCUCGAUAUUUUUGACUUAUCUCAUUCUACACUACUCCGAUUGACCUGAAAUUUUACAGGAACCUUUAAAACAUCAAUACCUACAACUUUUAUGUUUUAAGCCAAGGCCAAUUCGGUCUCUAACCAUGAGAUACAAAAUCGGACAGAAUUGGGGAUAUAAAACCCUAACUUUCUCAAAUUCCUUCCAAACCAGAAAUUGGUUACAAUUAUCUAUCCUAUACACCUACUAGAGUCAUUAAACAUCAGUUCCCAUCAUCAAGGAUAGCCACAACAUUACAUUCAUAUUAAACCAGAAAAUUCAUCAAUAAAUUAAAAAUUUCAUCAAUUCAUCCAAAACCAAGAAAUAAACCACAUAUUUCAUCACUUUAGCUCCCACUUGGCACAAAUUAAGCUUCCUUAAGUGUAGGAGAAAGUUCAAACACCACUCACCUAGUAAACAAGAGAGGAAGAGUUGUUGGACACCUUAGCUUCCUUAAACACUUCACCAAAUCACUUACUAACACCAAAUGGAGGGGUUUUAUGGAGUAGAAACAAGAUCAAGCAAUUGUUUUGGUGGAUUUGAGCUAGAUGGUAGACAAAACUUUGAAGAGUUCUCUUCCUUCUUAUCUCAAGGUGGCCGGCCAAGAGAGAGAUAAAAAUGGUGAUUUUUUGUUAGUUUUUGGUUUAUUUAAUCAAAGGGUAAAACAUGGAAUAGUAGUCAAAAGUUAUAUCCAAUCUCAUGGUGACACUUGUCACCUCCAUUAAUGCAAGUCUAUCCUUUUGUUUUCUCUCACAUCAAUCACCUCUCAUCCUCUACUUAUCUCUUAACACCCGAUAAAUUUCAACCAGUAUCCAAAACUUAACCUAAUUGGCCGAAUUUUUUCGAACUUUUCGCACUAGUGGGUCCCACGUCCGAUAUAUAUCCUUAAUUUUUCAAAAACUCUCCAAUACUAGAAAAAUCAUCUAAAAACAUAAUUACUCACAAAAUUCACCAGGAAAAUUGUUCCUAAGCAGAAAACAUACCAUUAAAGGGGAUAAACCCUAGGAAAAUUAUUAAGAGAAAUUUACGGGUUCUCACACAAAUCCUAUCAAAAAUGGACAUUUCAGAAAUUAUUUGCAUGACUCCUAGUCAACACCCAAAUAUCAAUAAAAAUCUCGACUUUAAAUCCAAAGUACCAGUCCCAAAACUCACAAAAUUAGGAUUUUUCUAAUGUCAACAUCCAAAUAUUGUAUAUUAUUAAAGUAAAUAGCAUUAUCAGCCCUAAGUAUUGAAAUCAAUUUAGUAAAAAUCUGAGAUGGAUAACCCUAAACCGUAACUAAUUACAACAUACAUGAACUAAUUUUAACUAAUUAUAACAUGAACGAAGUAUAACAUACAUACCCAUUUGCCUUCGAUUUUAUGGAAGAAAUCUUCAUCUCUUUCGCUCUUCUUACUUGAUUCAGAUUGACUUGACUUUGGCUGCUCUCUCUCUCUCUCUCUCUCUCUCUCUCUCUCUCUUCAUAGGGUUUGAACAAAACAAAUGAUUCUGUUCAAUUGCCUUUUGGUUAUUAUAUAAGGGCAUUUUGGUCCUUUCAUCAAUUCCCGUUAAUUUUUUCGAUUUCCGUCAAGAUUACAAUUUAAUUCAAAACAUGAGAUAUCACGUUGUAUAUUUUGAAACCAUAGGGGGUUUAUGUGACGACCCCACCUCCCCCUAAGGCGUACCAAAGGGUUCGGCGGACCGCCUGCCCAGCUCUCGCCAGGACUCACUCACUAUUUUAAUUGAGUCACGUACACACAUCCAUGAACCAUAAAUAACAUUCCCAAUUCAAGCUUAUAAUUUACAUUAAUAGAAAUCGAGGUACAAAGUCUCAACACACCCAACUAGUUCAAUACGUAUACAAUCCAAGUACAACAUGUUCCAUUCGAGGAAUAGCGCGAGUACAAGACCAAAAAGUCAAAAGUCAAAACAAAAGGCUACGCUAGUCUUUUACAAGUCUCACGCGCCACUCGUACCCCUGAAAGGAAAACAAAUGGAGUGGAAUGAGCUAAAAGCCCAGUGAGGUUCCAAAUAGCAAAUUGACCAUUAUUUAGAAGUACAAGUUUUCGGUAUAGCAAAGUAACAAGCAUGAAGAGUUCAUAAAUGUGAGCAAUAACACGUCAAGUAGCAAUCUUAAAAUGAGCGAGUGUAGAAGUUUUUCAAAAGCAACAAUAAUCCCAUAAACAAUAUUCACUCCAAAGUAUAAGGAUACGGAUGACUCUCAGGAGCCAAAUUCCCGUUGCAUUACCAGAAGCUUGAUCACGUAGUAGUUGACACUCCGUCAACUUUCAAGUAAGUAACCAAUCCAGUAGAACACCACUUACACGACUCUCCGUCCACCGUUCAAACCCCCUACUGGGCCCAAAAUCCUCAAUAAACACGGGUGGUAAUACUCGAGUAUACCGAUUAGUCGAGAAGAUAUCACUCCACUCGACAAUACAAGAGACCCAGGGUUCGUUACCCAAUCGACCAAGCCCUUGCCGACUCGACUAGAGUAACUCGCCACAGGGUUUCUGGAAUUUCAGGAAGUGCGCGCAUCAUAAUCAAGUAUAUCAAGUCAAUUGCAACAAUAAACAAGUAUAUCACGUAAGGGCAAGUGCGAUAAAGUACACUGUUGCCCUUACAAUUCACGUAUAUAACAUGUAAUCAGAUUGGUCACGUAUCAAGUUCAAGUAUCAAAUUCAAUUCGGUAUUUGAAAGCACUCAUCAAAAGAUAUAGUGCCUUUACUGGUCACUUUCAGGUUAUACUCCGGGUUCGGAGUCCAAAUCUGCGAUAAAACUCAGUUUGAGAACUUUGAAACACGACUUAGAUUCGAAACUUAAACGUUUCGUUCAAUAAAAUUCAAGAAAUUGGAAUUCACUUGGAUGGUAGUGUGAAACACUUGCUCACUUUUUAAACGGUAAAACUUUGUAACUUUUAUACUUGAAAUCGUCAUGCGAGUGGAAAAUACAAGGAAAACAUACUUCGAGCAAUCAUGAUUGCAUUUCUCAAGGGUACAAGUUCGACCAAGUCCUUACUUAUAUACCUCGGAACAAGAAGACUCAAGUACCCUAGAUGGUUCAAGCAGUAAUCACUCUUAACCCUUACUCAAGUUGCAAGUAGUUCUCUAGUCUUCGAGCGUAAAUUUGGGCAGCAUGCCCCUUGUGUUUACCUAAUUUUCCAGCCAUUUAGGCUUCAUUAUUUUUCUUCAACAACAACCCAACAUCAUACAUAUCAGCAAUUUAUGUCAAGAGCCGUUCCAUAGGCUCACAAUAUCAUAAUAACAAGAAUCGCAUUAAGGACAAGUGCAGAAAUUCAAUUUAGCACAAGACAGAUUUGACGUACAAAUGCGGAAAUAAUAUAUCCGAGGCUACGCUUAUCGGAUUGAGGCAUAACUUAUGCCGUUUCGAAGCUAAGACAUAGAGCUACAAUGUUCAUGAAGGUCACUUUGUCCAGUUUCUAAUUUAACUUGGUCAAAUUCUCAAAUUACUAAACCAGAAACCAAUUCGUCGGCUGUUUAAACGCAUUACGCUGUAACGGACAUAACUCAGUGUACAAAAGUCCAAUUCAGGUGUUCUUAGAGGCAUUUUAAAGCUACUUCAGAACACUGCAACUUUCAUGUUUUGGCCCAGGGCUAAAUCAGUACGACACCUAGUCAAAAAACGUGAUAAACUGGACUUAACUGAUGAAACGGACUGCUGGGAAAUACUUAGAACAGUAAAGGUAUUUUGGACUUUUCACAUCUUACGUUGCUCCGAUUGAGCUGAAAUUUUGUAGGCACCUAUAAAAUGCCAUUCUCUACAACUUUUAUUCUUUGACCUAAGGCCAAAACAGCCUCUAACAUACAGAUAAAAAUUCGGACAGAAUGUUGAGACAAUUUUCCAGAUUUUGGAAAUUUUGAGAUUCUACUGAAUCUUUCCUUAAUUUCUUGGUCCAAUCACUACCAAAACACCAUAUAACACCUCAAUUGCAACAUAUAAACAUCAUACAAUCAUUUGGGCAGAAUUUUCCCCAAACCCUAGUCAUCAAAUAAGAAAGGGGAAAACUUCUAAAACAUGCUAAUCAUCCAUGAUUUCACCAUAAUCUCAAGUUGUUAAGCUUAAUUUAACAAGAUUGAAAGUAAAACUUGGAGAGAUAAGUUCUCUUACCUUGGUUAGAGGUCACUAAGAGUAGCCCAAGCUUCCUUCUUCCAAAAACUUACCACAAAUCACCACUUAAUCACUCAAGAACAAGUUUAAUCGGUUUACUUUGUUUAUUUUCUCACUAAGUUGUUGGAUUUGAAGAUGAAAUGAAGAAAUUUCUCUUGGUGUUUUCUUCCCUCUCCCUCACGGCUCCUUGGCAGAAAUAUCAAGAGAAAUGAAGCUAAGUUUGUCUUAUAAUAAAACCAAAAGAUUAGAACUAAUGGUGUCCACAAAUUGCCCAACACUUGGCCUAAUCUUGGCCACUCAUUUUUCUCUUUCUUUCCCUUGCUUAUAAGCCACAAAUUUCGGUCCCCUUGGCUGUAAUAUAAGAAGAUAUUUUGCUCAAUUGUCAAUGAGCUUGUAGGGUAAGAAAGUAGUGGUCAAGUGGUGCGUUCAAACGGUAAUGCGCGAGACCCGCCGGUUCGCGCCGUUUUUCUUAAAACUCACGUACUAGGGUUUUUACUUCCCAUUCACUAACCUUACAUCAUUGCUACUACUCACAUAUUAUUUCUCACUUAAAAGUCACUUUUAAUCAUCAAAUUGAUCCUCGGCCAGUACCGAAAAUUCAUCUGGCGAAAAAUCGCGAAAACCCUAAUUUUGCUCAAAUCUUGAAACCAAAGUGUAAAACCCUAUUUCCAGGCUCAUCUGCACUUAUUGUUGAACAAUUGGGUAGUAGGGCCUUAAUAAAUAAUAAUUUCCAAAUAAAAGGAAAUUUUUAAGAAAACGUGAGGAAUUUACAAUUUCAAUAAUUAACAUUAGAAUCUCUAGUAAAAUAUGAAAGAUUUAAGAAACCGUUUAGUCACAAGUAAACUAGGGUUUUUGAUUAAAACAUUAGGGUUUCUAGUCGUUUAAAACAAAAUAAGGUUUUAAAUCAAACCCGAAGAAAUAUACUUUAAUAUUUUCUUCACAAACAACCUCCUAAUAUUCGGGAUGUUACAGUUUAUUUGUAUAUUAGGUUUAGUACAUGGGGCUUUUUUAUUUUUUAUCCUAGAAUUUAUUUGGGAGUUAUGGGAAUUAUAAUUGUGGGAGUUACAAUGCAUUUUGAAUUGAGUUAUUGUACAAUUAUUUGAAUAAGAGUUACAAAUGAAUUAUUUGGUGAAAUGAAGAAUUAUUGAGUCUUUAUAAGCCAUUCAAAUGUGAAUCAUAUUUUUAGGUUACAAAUUCUACCAAUUAACUACAAUUUAAUAUGAAAAAAAAUCGUUAUAUAUUGGAUUUUCAACCCUUUUUCUAAAGAUUUUUGUAGCCUAUAAAUAAUGAAAUUCUUUGGAGAAUUUCAUACACAUUUUUCUCAACAAAAUAUCAUUCUAAAUACUAUUCUCCUCAUACUCUUUUCUUUCUCCCUCAUUCUGUUUUCUUUGGGCAAAGAAAGAUAUUGGGAAGUUUUUGCUUCUCUUGGUUGUGCAUAUCAAAAGGAAGCAACAACUAUAGAGUUGGGUUAUUAUAUCCUGGAGGCAGCGUACUAGACCUUCUGCAUCGGUUAAAAAAAAUACCGUAUGUACACAUAUCGUCUUAAAAAGAACGUAUUGCGCAUCUCAACCCUACUGAACUUUUUAGUAGCUGUCAAAUUCAAGGUGGUUAGCAUGAAAAUCAAAUGUUGUUCAUGUACUCUCUUCCAACAAUUUUAAGACGAUACUCAAAUGGAGAGUAAUACUAACUCUACUAUCCUUACGUUUGUCGGAAGCUCUACAGAUCUCAACAAGCCUUUCAAGUUCAAUGGUGAACACCACUUCAAAAGAUAGGCUUAAAAAGUACUUUUCUACCUAAAACUCAUGAACGUAGCUUGGAUACUUAUGGCCAAAAUCCAACCAAAAUUCGUGUUGAUGACAUAUAUGAGCAAAAUAAGCAAGAGCAACAACAAAGUGUUCAAAAAUGAAGAAGUGAUGAUGAAGAUUGUAAAAAUUAUCUUCUUAAUUGCUUAUUCGAUGAGUUUUAUGACUACUACUCCACUUCUUAUUCCACAAUUAAAAAGAUUUUGAAGGCUUUGCAAAAGAAAUAUGAUACUGAAGAAGUUGGAGCCAACAAGUAUGCUUGCAGCUGCUACUUCAAUAUCAAAUGGCAGAAAACAAAUCUGUCCUUACUCAAAUACAUGAACUACAAUAUAUAGCUCAUAAAAUUCAAUCUGAAGGCAUCAAGAUGGAUGAACAAAUGCAAGUGGCUGCUAUAGUUGACAAAUUACCAAAUUCUUGGAACGAUAUUCAAAAGGAACUACGCCACAAGUAGUCGGAGAUCACUGUAGUCAAUCUCAUGGACUUAGAAUUGAAGAGGAGGCAAGGAAGCAAGAUCAGUCUGAGGAGACUAAUGACAAUGGUGAAACUAAUAAGGUACAUUUUAUUACUUCAACUGAUAAUGUCUCUAAAUGUCAGAAUUUUAAAAAUAAUGCAUACUUGAGACCUAGAGGAAAAAAUAUGAAAAAUCAGAAUAGACCACAAUAUUUAUAUAAAGGACCCAAAAAGAACCAAGAAACCCGUUCUAAUAAUAAUAAAGUUGUUAGGGGUCCAUGUUUUGUUUAUGGAAAACUUGGCCACCAACCCAAGGAUUGUUAUUUUAAAAAACGUGGACAACUUACAAAGUAUGGUGAUAAACUUCAAGCUCAUGUAGCUAAAGAACCUUUAGUGGCUAUGAUAACUGAGGUGAACAUACUAGAGAAUCAUGAAGAGUGGUGGGCAGAUUUGGGCGCUUCUAGGCACAUUUGCCAUGAUAAAGAUUGGUUCAAAAACUACACUCAUACUGAAAAAGGUAAAAUGGCUCACAUACCACUAAGGUGGUGGGUGUUGGUGAUGUGGAUCUAAAAUUCACCUCUGGUCAUACUUUAAUUUUGAAAGAUGUUCUUCAUACUUCUCAAAUCAGAAAGAAAUUGGUUUCAAGUUAUCUUCUCAACAAAUAUUAACUGGAUUGGAAAAUGACCUGUUUCAUCCUUUACAUUUCGUAAAAAUAUUUUUUUCGUCCCUCACUUUUAAAAUAAAACAAAUUCAUCCCUGACAUUUAAAAAUUAAAACUAUUACAUUUCUAAACCUAAUUUUCAAUCUGAAUCAAACCAUUCAAUAGCCCAGUAAUAAAUUUCGAAAAUAGAAUUGACAGAUCACUCGGUCAAUUUCAUCAUAUUCACAUGACAUUUAUUAAACCAAAAAAAUAAAAAUUAUAACAUAAAAGGCCAUUCUUUAUCUUGGAAUAGUGGGAUUUUUUUUUGGUAAAUCUUUUCAUACACCGUUAGUAUAUCCGCUUGCGAAUGUAGAUGUGUAUCAUAAAUAUAAAAUUUGGUGUUUAAAUUUAAAUUGAAAUGAUAUGACGGUACAUAAAACAGUCAGUGUAUACAAUGAUAAUGUAGGAAAGAUUAAUCUUUCUUUUUUAUGUUAUAAUUUUUUCUUUUUUCUUUUUUGGUUCAUUAAAUUUUAUAUGAAUAUCAAGUUGAAUUAACCAAAUGAUCUACCAAUUACACUCCCAAAAUUUGUAAUCAGGUUGAUUGGUGGUUUGAUUCAGAUUGAAAUUUGGGUUCAGGGAUGUAAGAACUUCAGUUUUUAAAUGUCAAGGAUGAAAUUGGUUCGUUUUAAAAGUGAGGGACGAAAAAAAUAUUUUUGUGAAAUGUAAAAGAUAAAACCGAUCAUUUUCCCUAACUGGAUAGUUGUUAGAAACAUUCAUUUCCACCCCUACUACUCGUUGAAAAAAGGGCAAAUUACAUUUUAUCUCCCUAUAGUUUAGUGUUUUUGUACAUAACCCUUUUAUGAUUUCAAAAGUUAUACAUAAUCCCCUUAUGGUUUGAAUUAAAGUGUCAAAGUAAUGGAAAUGAUCAUUUAUAAUAGAACCUUUUAAAAUCUCAAAACUACCAUUGUUUAAAAAUUAAAAUCGCUGAAUUAACCAAAAUAUGUAAACAUAAUAUACGUGAUGCACUAACCCGUAUAAUUUUAUGUUUACCAUAUAACCCCCGUAUAAUUUUUAAAAUAUACACAUAACCCUCCAGUGGUUAAUAAAUAAUUUUCAACUUUACAUAAGGGUAUUUUUGACAUUUUAGGUAACUCUAUUAUGGAUUACAAAUUCCGUUACUUUGACACUUUAAUCCAAAUCAUGAAGGGGUUAUGUAUUGUUUUUUAAAUCAUAGGGAUUAUGCACAAAAACACUAAACCACAGAGGGUUAAAGUGUAAUUUGCCCUUAAAAAAUCUUUGUAAAUUUAUAAAGAACUAUUCUAACGAUACUAAUUGGGGAUCGUUGGCAUAUCUAAUGAUAUGCACAAAAUCAUUUUUAUUUACCCACUUUUCUAAAUUAUCUUCACUCUUUAUUAAAGGAUUUUUCUAAUCGAGUCCUAGAGUCCUAUAGGCAUACGUUAACACACCUAAAUUACAUUUAACUUACCAUUCAACAUUUAUUAGAAAAAAAAUUGUCAGCACUUAAAGCAUUAACCAGACAUUAGUUAGAAAAAUUCAUUUUCACCCUAGUACCCAUAAGAAGAAAAUCCUUAAAACUUUAUAGAUGGUUUUUCUAACGGGUACUAAUUAGAGGAUCAUUAGUACAUCUAAUCAUGCCUAAAUUAGUCCACAAAAUCAUUCUGAUUAAGAUACUUUCCCAAAUUAACUUCACUCUUCUUUUUUUUUUUUGAAAUAGAUUUUCCUACUAGUUGCCAAAUAGUGAAAUUUAUCAUGUGAAUGAAUACACACAAUCACAAUUAUUAUAUUUUAAUAAAUUCAUACGUGAGACCCCUCUUAACGGGUUAGACAUUUAUUAAAAAAAUUCAUUUUCAUCCUAAGUCCCUAAUACUCAUAAAAAGAAAAUCUUUAAAACUUUUCUAAUGUGUACCAAUUGGAGGAUCAUUAGUACAUCUAAACGAUACCAAUUGAAGCAUCAUUAAUACAUUUAAUCAUACCUAAAUUAGUCCACAAAAUCAUUCCGAUUAAAAUACAUUCCCAAAUUAAUUUCACUCUUUUUUUCUAAAAUAAAAUUUUCUAAUAAUUAUCGAAAUGAGUGAAUACUUACUGUGUAAAUACACACAAUCACAAUUCUUGCAUUCCUAUAAACUCACGCGGUGUCACAAUUCUUACGUUCCAAUAAAGAAUAAACUAACACGUGAGACCGCUCUUAACGCAUGCCCCUAUACCAAAAAAAAAGGGAAAACUGGGGCCUUCAUCCUUCAUUUCUUGACAAAAUCCUUUCUGUCCUUAUCUCCCACACUUCCGGACUACGUUGCCAUAAGCGGCCGGUAGCCAGUUCCCAGUUCACCAAAACUUCUCUCACUCACUGGUAAGAUAUGAAGCACAAUAUUCAUGUAUCUGCAUACUGUUAUUUAUGCUUCUUGAAUUGUUAUUCGGGUUAUUCAUGAAAUUCCGAGACUUCACUGAUUUUUUUUCGCCGUUUCAGUUGGUUCUUUUUUGGUCUUUAAACUUUUAUUUGUUAUCUUUUUUCUUUUUGGCUUUUGGUUUUUUGGUGUUGGGAACUGAUUGUUAUAGGGUGAGAGAGAGAGAAGGUGUGGAUUGGCAAUGGGUCCUUUGACGUUAGCUUUGGAUGCCAAGAACUGCUCCCCCUCCUCAGGUAAAUUAAUUUUUCAAUUCUGCAUUUCAAUUUUAAUGCCCAAUUAUAUGUAUAUGUGCAGAUGAAAUUAUGAUUAUCAGUUUUAUAUUGUGUUACAAUUCUUUGUAGCCUGUCAAUUUUCAAAUAGUUUGUUUAGCUGAACUACCAUAUAGGUUACUCUGUCUGUGUGUGUGUGUUUUUUUUCCUUUUUGGGUUUACUACUAAAAUUGUAAACUUUAAUGCCCUUGCAACUCAUUAUGUGGGCUUUUUACGGGAAGGAAAAUGGUAAUUAUGUUUUUUUUAAUCCCUGUUAUCAUUUGUUAAAUGUGUUGGUGAAUUAUCCUGUUGCACUGUUGUUGUAUUUGUAUGGUUGUUGCAAUUUAGAUGCAAUGACACGAAAAAGGUACUUGCUUGAUAUAGUAGGUCUUGAAUAAUCAACAUAAUGAGAAUUGGAAGGUAGAAAUUUGUGCAUAACAAAGAGAAAAGUAUAAAUAAAAACCAUUGUGGAUUAGUAUUAUAGUUUUCUAGAAUAACCUGUGCUAGCUGGAAGAUAGGUACCUUUGUAAGAUAUACAUCUAGAAGAGCAUAUUAAUGACAAUUAAUUUCUUGAAAGUGUAGAGUUUAUGCCAAUAGUGAUGUAGCGUCAUUUCCAUCAGUAAUUAGGGGGCACCAAAUGUAUAGAAUUUCAUAGCUUAAGUUUGUCUGGAAUACCAUUUAGAACAGUUUAAGAAAAGGUACUAAACUGGGAGUGGUGAUAAAAUGUAAGCCUUGAACAGGGGUAGAUAUGAGCAGUAGAAAGUAGUCACUUUUUACUGUAUUGCACAAGGUGUUGGUUGUUAUUAGCAAUUGCAUAGUUUCAUUUUAAGCUAGACUAGGCAAUUGGUAAUGUUCCAAACAAAUGUCAGAAUUUACUUUAGUUAAUUAUGUAGUAAUGCUCUAGGUUCUGGGAUGAUAUGAGGAAAACCAUUUUACUCAGGAAAGUUCCCAUGUUUCAUAUGCCGAUUUUAUUGAUUUAUUUCCUUCUAUUUUGUCAAUCUUGUUUGAGCAGGCAAUCUGGUUUUGCAGAUAGAUCCAAUGGGAAAAUUCAAAAUGUCCAGUUCAAUCCAAAGAGGUUUUUUGCAUCAAUAAGCACACAAGAACAGAAGCCAUUUGAUUUCUUUCGUACUUUAGUUGGUAAGCCCAAACUCAAGUAUUCAUAUUUUGGUCAUGACUUUAUUGAAAUGCGCAUUAUUGCUGUUCUGUAGGUGGGAUCAAGAAACUUCUCGAAUGGCCCCAAUUUAUUGAGAAGAAAGUUAGAUAAAAUGCUAUUUAGUUGUUAAUAGAGCAGGAUUGGCCAACUUGGGCGAAUCAAUAGGUGUCAUGUUAUUACUGCAGAUGAAUCCUUUGAAUUUUGUGUCUUUGGAUAAAAGCUUUCUAGGAAUGAAAAUGUGGCAUCCAAAUCAUUAUUAAUAUCCCUGCACUCCACCCCAAAUGAGUGUCUUAACAUAUCACUUAACUGGACUCUAUGUACGAUGGGUGAGAAACAGCAUUUUAUUUUUCCAUUUAUAUUUUCUUGAAAUAAGGGUGAUAAAAAAGAUUGAUAAUGAUGUGUUCUGGGAAUUCAACUCACAGAUUUUUCUCACAAUAUAUUAUUAGCCAAUAUCCCCUUUCCUUUUGUAUGGAGCUUUAAAGUUUAACGCAAUGCAUCUGUGAAAAUUGUUGCCUUUUGCAAUACUUUUUAGGAGCUAAUCACAACCAAUUUUUUUUAUAAAAAUUGGCUACUUCUUUAUCUUUUUCCUGUUCAUAUAAACUUUCUCCUUUGAUGCAUUUAAGCUGAAUUUUUUAAACUACUGCACUUCUGAUACCACAGAAAUUUGUGCAGAUGGUGUUAUAGCAGGAGGCACAGCAGGCGUUGUUGUUGAGACUGCGUUGUACCCUAUUGAUACUAUAAAGACUCGGUUGCAGGCAGGUGAACUAUUUGAAGCACUUAAGCGGAUCCAAAUUAAGAUGGAAAACAAAUGAUCAUAGUUUCUCAUAGUGUCAUAAGCAGAUGCCUUGCACUCUUAGCUUAGAUGUACAUUAUGUUUUCUGACUUGCAGUUCUUGCUGCAGUACUAAUCUAAGAUUUAGAUGUUUGUGAAGAGAUUUGAUGACAGUUAUUUUCUUUGGAAGGAACAAAUUGAAAAUUGUGAUAUCUUAGCUUAAGAAUUUGUUUGGUUGGGGGUGAAGGAGUAAUAUAUGGUAAAAUGCAUUUAUAUUUGACCGCUUCUAAAACAUUGAUUAGACUGCUUAGCUGAUGAAAAUUAACUAGGGAAACAUCUUGUUUCUUGGUCUAUUGUGAUAUAUGCUGCAAACUUUUGGGCUGAUUUGUUCAUUGUACUAAUGAGAGAUGUUUGGUUUCUUUUUCUCUCCCUCUUUUUUCUGUAUUAUCCAAUCUGUAGUAGCAGAAGAAAGUUCCUCAGUUAUAAAUUUUGUGUGUUACAUAUUGAAACAGGUAAAAGUCCAUGUUAAUGUGUAACAGAAACAGAAAAUACUUGUUCGUUAAUACUUUAUGUUGCGUAGGCCCUAUUGUGAGGAAAAAAGAAAGUGAGAUUUUCGAAUAUGAUUUCUUCCAUUAGGAUUCAAAUUCUUGGGACAAAGUGCUCCCUAUGUUUACUGUCAAUAUCAUGUUAUGAUUUCUGUUAAUAAUGAUACGUGUAGGCUGCUCAAGGAGGAGGAAAAAUAAAUCUUAGAGGCCUGUAUUCUGGAUUGACUGGUAACCUUGCUGGAGUCCUGCCGUAAGUUCUUAUAAAAUUCCAUGACUUGAUAAUUUUUGUAUUAUAUGGUAUUGCACUUGCUAAUCAAAUAGCUAAUAACAUUUUGUAUGUUGAACGGAUGAAAUCUUGGCCAGUGGCCCCAUCCUUAAUUUUUACGGAUGAACUUUUGCUUUUGCAAUUUUUUGUUUGUUCAGAUUUGAUUUUAACAAUUAAUGGAUCUAUGGAUGCCACCGCUACUUUACACACUUGUUGUAUCUACAGGGCAUCUGCUGUUUUUGUUGGUGUAUAUGAACCCACAAAGCAAAAAUUGCUGAAGCUUUUCCCUGAAAAGUUCAGUGCAGUUGCUCAUCUGGUAAGGCUUAUAUCUUGUGGCACUUUUUAUUGAUCUUGAAACAGCUCUGGUCAUUAAUAUAACCUUUAAAUGCAGAUGUUUAACCUACAAAGAAAGGACUUGAAUUGAUAAAUUUCAUGUAAAAUAUAGGCUGUAAAGGGUUGUGUAACAAAUUUCGAUUCCUGAGAAAAUUUAGUAAGUGUUAUUUCAAAUGGUGCCAUAAUACCUGAUAAAUGUGCCAGAUAACUUCAGUCGGAUAUUUUGUAAUUUUAGCAAUUCUGAUCUGUAGGUGCACCACUGUACUUCAGAACAAAGGCCUUAUCUUUUUACAUAGAUUUCUUCUGGUAGCCUAAUUAAGCUCAUUGUGUUCUUCUGCAAUCUUUUUAUCCUAGUUCAUAGUAGAAAGAUUCUUACUUUUGGUUCAAGGCGUUUCUACUACUUGUCUGGAGAACCCAAAAGUUGGAGUGUCCCUUGGCCCAAACUUUGUUUGUCGCUUUAUCACUUGACCUAUGAAACUUUUUGAGUUCAUUUUGUUUGGCAUGGUGGUUGUGGCAUUGGACCUAAUUGGCAUCUACAAAUGUCAGAAUGACUUAUACCUUUGACCUACAUUACUCAACAACAAUAUUCCCAUUAACGUGUUUUUUCUUUUGAAAUUCCUGAUAACUGUUGAUUGAGACCAAAACUUGCUUUGUGAAAUGAAGUGGAUUGUGUCACCUGAAUUUUGGAUAUUAGCUGAGUCCCUAUAAGUUUGAUAACUGUUUGGAUGACAUUUUAUGCUCGAGGUGAUUGUGUUGUAGCCUUUUCCCCGGUUUGUUUAUGAGGUGCUAAAUGUGUAGACAGCUGGGGCCAUUGGAGGUAUUGCAGCUUCUCUUAUUCGUGUUCCAACAGAGGUACAUGAGUUUAUAUUCGUUUUCUUGCUGUUCGUGCAUAGCCUUAAAUUUUCAUUUUCAUUUUGCGUUGGUAAAUUUUCUUUGUAUCUUGAAAGUGUAGGUUGUCAAGCAACGAAUGCAGACUAGACAAUUUGCUUCUCCACCUGAUGCUGUUCGUUUAAUCAUUUCCAAGGAAGGUUUUAGAGGUCUUUAUGCGGUAAUAUACCUGCUCUAUCCAAUACUUCAGAGGAAAAUCAAUUUUCCUUACAACCAUAUAGUGUUGAGAUGUUCAUUCCAUCCCUUUUCCAAUGAUUAAUGAUGUUUUUAUAUAUCUAGAGGAUUGCUAAGCUGUGAUUAGGUACUCUAUGCAGAUAUACGUUGUGUAUAAUUCUCAGAAGCUUUAAUCUUUGACAAUAGUAGUGUUUUAGGACGGGUUUUUCUUCUUACUCUUCUGCAUGGGUUUUUAACUUUUAUAUCCUGAACUUGUAGGGAUAUAAAUCAUUUUUACUGAGAGAUUUGCCAUUUGAUGCAAUCCAGUUCUGCAUCUAUGAACAGCUUCGAAUAGGCUACAAGAUGGCAGUAAGUUACUUUAUACAGAAAGAGACUUGAUGAAUUGUUUUGCUUAUCGGAUGAGGAUGAAUUCACCUCUAUAGUGCUUCCCGCACAAAAAUAUAUUAGCUGAUUUUUCCUGCUUGUUCUUGUUUAUCUCUUAAUCUAAUGUGCAAUUGAUAAACUAUGUCAUGCUAUGUUGUUAAGCUGUUUCUCUUUUUCCAUGUUUAAUCAUAUAUAGUGCACCUUAUGAGUUUGCUUUGUGGUUUAACUAAAUGAUAACUAAACAAAUUUCUUGAUACCAAGACGCUCAUAAUUUGGUCUGAGUUGUGUUUUUAAACAAUACUGCUUCUGUAAACACCUUUUCUGUGGUGUGCUUUUGACCAGGCAAAGAGGGAUUUGAAUGAUCCUGAGAAUGCUGCAAUUGGUGCUUUUGCUGGUAAUUUCAUUUCCUAAUAGCCUGCUUCUGGAUCUCUUGUAUUUAGAUGCGUCUUGGUGUGCACUUUGCAGAAUACGAACUCAAUUUGUUACCCAAGAAAUAGUUUUUCUCCUGCUGGAGAAUUUGAAAUUAGUAGAAGAUUGUACCGGUAUAGUCAUUUUUGUGAUUAAUGCACAAAAUGUAAAGACUGUUCUUGGAUUUCUGGUUGCCUAGAAUUAUUUGCUUAGUGCUCGACAUUACAUUCUGCAAUGAAGAUUACCACCUAAUUAUGUACACUAAUAUAUAUAUAUAUAUAUAUAUAUAUAUAUGUAGGCGCCCUAACUGGAGCUAUAACUACACCAUUGGACGUGAUCAAGACAAGGUUAAUGGUCCAGGUUCGUUUAUAAGUGUAUGUUUUGUUAUUUUCUCUCUUGCUCAACCGUUCUCUUCUUCAUGAACAUCGAGGGAAUGUUCAGUCGGGUUACCUGCAUAAUGAAUUUGUUCCGUUUGCUGGUAUGAUAUGUUAAUCUGCAUGCUCUACAGGGAUCAACGAACCAGUAUCGAGGCGUAUUUGAUUGCGUGCAGGCUAUAGUAAGGGAAGAAGGGCCUCCUGCUCUUUUAAAGGUACGAGUGUUUGUGCCAGUGGAUAGAAGUGUAGUUCUUGUUGUUAAAUGGGAAGCCUGGCAUAUGAAAUAUGGUAAUUAAUUGUUGCUCUUAACUUUAAAUCCUUGCAGGGCUUCGGGCCAAGAGUGUUGUGGAUAGGCAUUGGUGGUUCAAUAUUCUUUGGUGUUCUUGAGAGCGCGAAGCGUUUUCUAUCCCAGAGGCAUAACACUAGUGAUAAAUCUCUGGACAAAAAGCAGGAGUGAAAGGUUAAUUUUUGUUGCAAUGCGUUAGGGUCCCCUGCUUGUUUUUGGAUCGAAAGUUCAUAAACAGAGAAAUAUAACCGAAGUUCUUAACAAGAAAUUUUAUUUGAACUUUACGCCAAUCGAUUUUGUCCUAAUUCUCUUGCUGUUCUUUUUAAUUUUUUGAAUGUGGUAAUUCUUUGUUCAUAUUGAAUCUAAGAAACAAAUAAUUUCUUUAUCUCAUUUAAAGGAAAAAUCCUUUUAUGGCAGCAAAAUUCAUGUGAAACUAACAUGAACUGUUGUGGUGGAAUGCGUUGCUGUAUCCAGAUUUCCAUAGCGCAGAACCUGGUACCAUUAUAGUCCAGGUUAGACGUUAAUUACCUCAUCAAACUACUCUCAAAAUCCAUAUUGCUAUUCUUCUAACUGAUAAUGGAGCAAAUUGUACACUUCAAUCUCAAUUUGUUUCAAUCAAACAAAAAUAUGGCCUCUUAACUGAUAAUUAUGCCUCGAGUACCUCAAGAAAAACCAGCCAAUUCAGAUAAAUUUCACUUCAAAUAUCUAUGUACAUAUUGUACAGUUCUCAUCAUGUACAUUUCUUACAGGCCAAAAUUUCACUCGUACACUCAAAUCAGCUCGCCCCAGUAUGAAAAAGUUGGGGGAAAAGUUUUUUUUUUUUUUUUAAAUGAUGCCGAAACUGCAUUAUAUUCACAAGAUUUCUGUAAAAAAAACAACCUGCCU
rnacentral:lncRNA from 1 species